AACAAACGCUGGCGGCGUGCCUAAUACAUGCAAGUCGAACGGGGAAAGCUUUCGGGUGAGUACUAGUGGCGCACGGGUGAGUAACGCGUGGAUAAUCUGCCUUAGAGUGGGGGAUAACUAGUCGAAAGAUUAGCUAAUACCGCAUAAGACCACAAGAACUGCGGUUCAAGAGGUCAAAGGUUUUUCGCUCUAAGAUGAGUCCGCGUAAGACUAGCUAGUUGGUGAGGUAACGGCUCACCAAGGCAACGAUCUUUAACUGGUCUGAGAGGAUGAUCAGGCACACUGGAACUGAGACACGGUCCAGACUCCGACGGGAGGCAGCAGUAGGGAAGAUUGCACAAUGGAGGAAACUCUGAUGCAGCGACGCCGCGUGAGUGAUGAAGGCCUUCGGGUCGUAAAGCUCUGUCGCAGGGGAAUAACACAAUGAAUGUACCCUGUAAGAAAGGAUCGGCUAACUUCGUGCCAGCCGCCGCGGUAACAC
rnacentral:rRNA from 1 species